UGAGGAAUAUUGCACAAUGGGCGCAAGCCUGAUGCAGCAACGCCGCGUGCGGGACGAAGGCCUUCGGGUCGUAAACCGCUUUUCUGGGGAAAGAGCAAGGACGGUACCUCAGGAAUAAGUCUCGGCUAACUACGUGCCAGCAGCCGCGGUAAAACGUAGGAGGCGAGCGGUAUCCGGGUUUACUGGGCGUAAAGCGCACGCAGGCGGCUCUGUGAGUCGGACGUGAAAGCUCCCGGCUUAACCGGGAGAGGCCGUUCGAUACUGCGGGGCUUGAGGUAGGGAGAGGAAUGCGGAAUUCCCGGUGUAGUGGUGGAAUGCGUAGAUAUCGGGAGGAACGCCUGUGGCGAAAGCGGCAUUCUGGCCCUCACCUGACGCUGAGGUGCGAAAGCGUGGGUAGCAAACAG
rnacentral:rRNA from 1 species